AAUUAUCCACUUUCAAAACUUUUGUUAUGGAAGCUGGGACUUGGAGGUCGUGUCGGCUUAGGUCGACUCCUCUGAAAUGUAUUAGCGUGAAUCUUACGGAUCGCCUUCAGUGUGAUAAUUGUCUACGCUGUGGUGUGAAGUAUACUAGUGUUCGUGCUUCUAACCGUCCUUCGGGACAAUUACUUGACC
rnacentral:misc_RNA from 1 species